AAUUAUUCCUUCUCCAUGAUCACGAUGAUGGGCACCACAAUCGUGAUGCACUAUCAUUAGGGCUGGUUGGUUUCCUCUUUGAAUUUACAAUGAGAGUCCCACAUUGUAAAAUCUUAGGUUGGGUAGCCUCGUAUUUGCACAAUGGUCCUACGUUUGGGAAGGCAUAAUGGUCCCUGGAUAGAUUUAGUUCUUUUUUCAGCCUAAAACAUAUUUCCUCCAUUUUUGGACUUUGUGAGCUCAGUUUAGGCCAAUUUCAAAAGAUCUUAUGGGAUUUCUUUUAUUGGUAUAUUUCUAAAAUGUUGAUAUCAUUCUUUCUCAAUAAUUUCCUUACAAAUCUACCUUCAAAUCCUUAAUUUUAAACAUGAUUUUGGGGUUGAUAAACUUUAAAUUAGGUUUUUCUUCAAUUUCAAGUCCAAAAUCUACUCAUUUUUUGUUGGAUUAUUAGAUUUAGACUCCUAUUAUCAUAGAGAACUUGAUUUAUAAAUAAAAUCUUAAUCUACCCUUAUAUUUUUGGAAAAGAUUUUGGGAGUGAUUUUACUCAGAACCAAAAUAUAUUGAUGGGGUUAUUGAUAGGCUUCUUUUUACUUGUAGAUAUCAUAUUUGAUUAUAUUAGACACGUUUAGUGAUAAUUUAAGGUAGUAGAGCUUCCGAUCGAUGUUUUGGGUGGAGUUUUGUCUUUCCCAUCUUCUUUAAAGGCAAGUUGAGAUGUUCCUUAACUUUCUCUAAAGUGUUUGAUAUGUUUCAUGCUUGUUUGCUUGUGUUUAGUGAAUCACGUAGGGUUUGGGGAUCCCGUUUAGGUGAAAUGGCGAGAAUCUUUGUGGGUAUCAGAGUUUUUUAUCAGAUUGUAGUUAUAUAAUUGCUUAUCUUAGUUAGUCUUUAUACUUGAGGAUAUUCGUAGAAAAGACUGUAGAUAGUUGGCUUAUUGACUUUGAAUAAUUUAUAGUGGAUACCUAUUUUAUAGUCUGAAUUGUGCUUAGUUAACUUUGAUGGAAUGUUUGAGGUUUAGAAGAUACAUAGAGUAUAAUGAACUUGUAAUAGUUGAUGUGAUUAUCGAACUUUAAUAGUCUUAUUAUGGCAUAUAAUUAACUAGCAUAAGCUUUUGCUUUAGGAUUUUAGUCUAACAAUGUCAUUAUUAGAAAAGAUAAGACUUAUUAAAUGGAAAAAGCUAGGUUUAGAUUAUUUUGCGGCAUAUUUUUAUUUAAAUUAUUGUUAAUUUGGUGUUGACCAUGUGGGAGCUUAUGUGCGUGAGGAUUUGAAUUUGCGAACUUUCUAUUUGUAUUUGUUUUUACCAUUUUUCUCUUACUAGUAGUUGCUACAUAUUAAUUAUGAGGUUUGGUGAUAGUUGACACAGUUCCCAAUAUGAUCAAAGAUUAUUUAUGCGAGCUUGUGGUUUUUUGAAACUUAACAAGCCGUAUAGUUGACUUAGUUCAACAUUUGUUGUUUUGAGUGUUGGAUGGCAAACGGACUGCGCCAACAGGUUUAAAAUGUAAAAUUUGGGUUGGUAGCGGGAUUUGUUUAGAUUUGAGGUUUUUAUAUCUCAUUUCAGCCCUUGGUUAGGGAGAUAGUAAAAAGUGGUCCUGAGGGUUAAUUUUGUGAAAUAACCUUUUUCAAAAAUUUGAGGCCUCCAUUGAGUUUGGAACAUCGAAAUUAGCCUAGUAGAAUACAUUCUUUACUUCUGUCGGGUUCGAAUGAAUUCCAAGGAUACAUUCUGUGACAUUUUUAACUUGGCUUCUACUACUGGUUCAAUAUUUUAUGGUGCAUCAGGACCUUUAUUACGAUUACAUAAACACGUGUCGUGAUCUCGGGCCUUGAUAAUUCACUGAAUCAUGACCACAUGGUGGUGGUACCGCGAUCACAAUAAGAAUUCGGGUGGAUAUGGUCGGUUUUAUCCAUCAUAGUUGCGAGGUUCUUUACUUGCAGUCGCAGUGACUAACUUAAUCCUUAGUCAAUAUUGACCCUCAUGAUUGAGAGGUGUGGAUUGUGAUCACGAUGCACUGUGCACUAAAUAGUAAAUAAGUCUUUUUUCAUGUUUUUCCUCUAUUUUAAACCUUUAAGCUUUAGGUUUGGGCAAUUCUUGAGGCUUUAUCCGCCAUUUGGGCAUUGGUAAGCUCUAAAAUCUUAUUACCAAUAUUUCUCAUUGAUUAUAUCAUUGAAAACUCCUUUAAAUCAUGAUUUUAAAAUAAAAAAAAUUAGGGAUUUAUAGGUAAGGUUAAAAAAGGGGUUUUCCUUGAUUUGGAAUCCACUUUAAAACCAUUUUUGCAUGGAUUUUCUCCUAUAAACUCCUACUACCUUGGUAAUAUUAUUUUAAAAUAAAAUUUUUAUUUUACCCCUUUCUUUUUCAAGAUUUUGUAUAUAUAUAUGUGUGUGUGUGUGUGUGUUGGGUGGAUUAAAUAUCAUCAUUUGAGUUAAUUGUGGGCAUUACAUCCUUAUUUCAUACAUAUAUAUUCAUGAGAUACUAGUACCACUAAGAAAUACUAUUUUUUUAUAAAGAAAAUAAGAUACUUUUAUGAAAACUCUCUAUGCACAAGUCGAAGAUAUGAUAUGUGUUGAAAUUGAGAUAUGAUAUAAAGUAUAUGGGUUGAAAACCCUCUAUGGGUCCUACUUAGUAGCUGUGAGCUCGGUGGGUGUAUAAAGAAAGUCAUGCGAUGACUUUCAUUAUUCAUUCCAUCCACAUUGCAUUGCAUCACAUUUGGAUAUGCAUCUUGCUUAUUUUCCUUAGUAUCCUUUACUUGUGCUUAUUUUUAGUGUAUAUUCAUAUGUAUAUCUAUGUUGUUUCUAUUUUUUGUGUAUUUAUAUACUAGCAUUGUUUGUGGAGAUGGUGUGAACUAUAAUUUGGGAAUUUUUUACUUGCAGGUGAUGUGCUCGCAGUAUAUUUUACUUAUCUAAUUUUUUGGUUUGCUUAGUUGACCUAUGAUACUUACUGAGUACAAAUGGACCAUACUCACCUUUAUUGUGCCUUUUUGGUGCAGACCUUAGAAUGAGUAUAACUCACUUCAGUUAAUUUUGAGCAUAUCUGACUGAUGAUCAAGGUAUUGAUGUGCUCUAGGGCUUAAGAGCUUACUUUAGACGUUCUCUUAGUUGUUUUAGAUGUUCUUGCUUAUUUUAAGAGAUAUAUAUUCAUAUUUUAGUACUUUUGAGUUGUAUUAGAUGUUCUUAAACUUAUGACUCCAGAUUUUGGGAUUCUAUAUUAGUUCUUCAGAUUUUUGCUUUGUUAUAUUCUGUGUUGGGCCUGACUUUAUUCUAGAAGUCUUGCAUUAUCUUUAUGUUGUUAAGUUUUGGAUUUUAUUUCCUUAUUUGUUCACAUUUCUGUUGUCUUGAGUGAUCGGCUUACUAAUCAAGGCUGGAUCAUGAUAGCUAUCAUGACCUAGUUUUUGGGUCAUAACAAAUUGGUAUCAGAGCAACCAGGUCAACCCAUCUCAUAAGUUGAAAAGCAUGUUGUCUAAUAGAAUAUCAUGGAAUAGUAUAUUGACGUCCACAUCUAUCUACAAAACUGUAUAAGAUAUCUUUAGGAUGGAAUUCCUCUAUUUUGAUUUCAGUAGUACGGGUUGUUUUUACCCAAUGCUCUAAGUUUUGUUUCACUUUUCUUUGCACAGAUGGUAAGGACUAGAUCUCAUCAGGCUAAGGAUUUUGGGCUAUCACCCAAGGAUAGAGCUCAAGUUAGAUGGAGAUGCAUCGGUUGUGGACAGACCAGAUGUAGAGCACGGGCAUAAGGAGUUUAACACCCCAGAUUUUUUAUCGUUGAAAAAUUCUGAAAUUUUAUCCACACUGCUCAGACUGAGAUUGUAGGUUAAUUUAUGCACCUCGGUGUUGCUAUCUGUACUUGUUUAGGCUUGUUUUGAGGACUUCUUGUGUGUUUAAUAAGUAAUUUUUUGUAUAAAUGAUCAGCUAAGUGGUAAGCUAAUUUAUUACAAUGUUUAGGGAGUGUUUCAAACAAGUUUGGAAUCAAUUUGGUUACUUAGAGUUUAGAUUAGAAAAUUAGUGUUACUAGAUUGAGCUAUGUAUUGUUCUAGUUGAUCUCGAUGGAUUAUAGUAUCCGUAGUGAGUUAAUAAGGGUAUGAAUGUGUAAUUAUAUGUGGACCAACUUGUUUAUAUUGUUUAAGGUUCAAUUCAAACAAGCCACGAGUCAAAACAAAGUUAAAGAUCAAAAGGACAUAACUAGUAUUCUUAGCUUAAGAUUCUAGUUCAUUGUCUUGAAUUGUAUGUCAUGUGGAGAACUAAUACAUGGUGUCUGAUACUAUAGGAUGAUUUAUGAGUUUAUAAUUAGUAUAUAUGGAUGAUGAAUAAGCUGUAAAUCAAGUUAAAACAUCACAACAAGGCUUGGAAAGGAUGGACAAAAGCACGGGAUAAGAUUUGACCAACACGGACGUUUUGGAGUCAUUGGUGUGCCACGGAGCUUAGGUAACAUGUUAGGUUCCAUGUGUGAUACCCCGUGCUUUUCCUUAGAUUAAAAUUCAUUCCUAGAAUUUUAAGAGUGG
rnacentral:lncRNA from 1 species